AUUGAACGCUGGCGGCAGGCCUAACACAUGCAAGUCGAGCGAGCGGCGGACGGGUGUGUAAUGUCUGGGAAACUGCCUGAUGGAGGGGGAUAACUACUGUCAACGCUAUCUCAUACCCCAUACCCCCACAUAUGCCCCCAUGGGAUUAGCUCGUAGGUGGGGUAACGGCUCACCUAGGAGACGAUCCCUAGCUGGUUUGAGAGGAUGACCAGCCACACUGGAACGGAGACACGGUCCAGACUCCUACGGGAGGCAGCAGUGGGGAAUAUUGCACAAUGGGCGCAAGCCUGAUGCAGCCAUGCCGCGUGUGUGAAGAAGGCCUUCGGGUUGUAAAGCACUUUCAGAGGGGAGGCGUUACCCGCAGAAGAAGCACCGGCUAACUCCGUGCCAGCAGCCGCGGUAAUAC
rnacentral:rRNA from 1 species